rnacentral:rRNA from 1 species
GACGAACGCUGGCGGCGUGCUUAACACAUGCAAGUCGAACGGAAAGGCCCUGCUUUUGUGGGGUGCUCGAGUGGCGAACGGGUGAGUAACACGUGAGUAACCUGCCCUUGACUUUGGGAUAACUUCAGGAAACUGGGGCUAAUACCGGAUAGGAGCUCCUGCUGCAUGGUGGGGGUUGGAAAGUUUCGGCGGUUGGGGAUGGACUCGCGGCUUAUCAGCUUGUUGGUGGGGUAGUGGCUUACCAAGGCUUUGACGGGUAGCCGGCCUGAGAGGGUGACCGGCAACAUGGGGACUGAGAUACGGCCCAGACUCCGACGGGAGGCAGCAGUGGGGAAUAUUGCACAAUGGGCGGAAGACUGAUGCAGCAACGCCGCGUGCGGGAUGACGGCCUUCGGGUUGUAAACCGCUUUCGCCUGUGACGAAGCGUGAGUGACGGUAAUGGGUAAAGAAGCACCGGCUAACUACG